rnacentral:rRNA from 1 species
GAUGAACGCUAGCUACAGGCUUAACACAUGCAAGUCGAGGGGCAUCAGGAAGAAAGCUUGCUUUCUUUGNUGGCGACCGGCGCACGGGUGAGUAACACGUAUCCAACCUGCCCUUUACUCGGGGAUAGCCUUUCGAAAGAAAGAUUAAUACCCGAUAGCAUAAUGAUUCCGCAUGGUUUCAUUAUUAAAGGAUUCCGGUAAAGGAUGGGGAUGCGUUCCAUUAGGUUGUUGGUGAGGUAACGGCCCACCAAGCCUUCGAUGGAUAGGGGUUCUGAGAGGAAGGUCCCCCACAUUGGAACUGAGACACGGUCCAAACUCCUACGGGAGGCAGCAGUGAGGAAUAUUGGUCAAUGGGCGAUGGCCUGAACCAGCCAAGUAGCGUGAAGGAUGAAGGCUCUAUGGGUCGUAAACUUCUUUUAUAUUAGAAUAAAGUGCAGUAUGUAUACUGUUUUGUAUGUAUAAUAUGAAUAAGGAUCGGCUAACUCCGUGCCAGCAGCCGCGGUAAUACGGAGGAUCCGAGCGUUAUCCGGAUUUAUUGGGUUUAAAGGGAGCGUAGGUGGACUGGUAAGUCAGUUGUGAAAGUUUGCGGCUCAACCGUAAAAUUGCAGUUGAUACUGUCAGUCUUGAGUACAGUAGAGGUGGGCGGAAUUCGUGGUGUAGCGGUGAAAUGCUUAGAUAUCACGAAGAACUCCGAUUGCGAAGGCAGCUCACUGGACUGCAACUGACACUGAUGCUCGAAAGUGUGGGUAUCAAACAGGAUUAGAUACCCUGGUAGUCCACACAGUAAACGAUGAAUACUCGCUGUUUGCGAUAUACAGUAAGCGGCCAAGCGAAAGCAUUAAGUAUUCCACCUGGGGAGUACGCCGGCAACGGUGAAACUCAAAGGAAUUGACGGGGGCCCGCACAAGCGGAGGAACAUGUGGUUUAAUUCGAUGAUACGCGAGGAACCUUACCCGGGCUUAAAUUGCAGUGGAAUGAUGUGGAAACAUGUCAGUGAGCAAUCACCGCUGUGAAGGUGCUGCAUGGUUGUCGUCAGCUCGUGCCGUGAGGUGUCGGCUUAAGUGCCAUAACGAGCGCAACCCUUAUCUUCAGUUACUAACAGGUCAUGCUGAGGACUCUGGAGAGACUGCCGUCGUAAGAUGUGAGGAAGGUGGGGAUGACGUCAAAUCAGCACGGCCCUUACGUCCGGGGCUACACACGUGUUACAAUGGGGGGUACAGAAGGCAGCUACCUGGUGACAGGAUGCUAAUCCCAAAAGCCUCUCUCAGUUCGGAUCGAAGUCUGCAACCCGACUUCGUGAAGCUGGAUUCGCUAGUAAUCGCGCAUCAGCCACGGCGCGGUGAAUACGUUCCCGGGCCUUGUACACACCGCCCGUCAAGCCAUGGGAGCCGGGGGUACCUGAAGUACGUAACCGCAAGGAGCGUCCUAGGGUAAAACUGGUGACUGGGGCU